GCAGGGUUUUACAUAUGAGCUGUUUUAUGCAAUAUCUUUUUAUAGAGACCUAUAUUGUUUGGGGGGGUAUAGUUUUCCUUUAAAUACAGCACUAAAGUGGUUGGUUGCUUAGAUUGGUUACCAUGGUUGCAUCAGUUAGCGUCGCUCCCUCCCCUCGCUGUGUAUGUGACACGCAGCACGCACGGCGCUGCCCAUCACGUGAUCGCCUGUCACUUCCUCCUCCGCAACCUGGGCGCAGCCUCUUACUUCAUACAACUACCGCAAUGGAAACGCUAGAAGCCAAACACCGGAGUUUGAAGCUGGAUGGCGGCGAGGCGGAAGGAGGGAGCAAUGAGAGAGGGAUGCCGGAUCCUGCAGCACUGGCCGAGCGCAGAAGGGAGGCCCGGGGUUACUUACAGUCUAUCUCUCACCACUCCUACUGGUUCGAUGUGUGGGUCUUCCUGCUCUUUGACCUAGUGCUUUUCAUCUUUAUCUACCUGCUGCCCUGAGCUGUGAAUAAUGUGGAAAAGUCCAAGCUAUGUGGAUGGAUGUUUGGGACCAAUGACUACUGUGCCUUUAACCCUCUCAGCUACAAAGCCACAGCAUUACGCAGAGGAGUGCCUUCCUACAUUGCACUACAAGUCUACUCUAUGGCCAUAGGAACAAAAUUUGCAGACUUUAAUAGACUGUUUCCUCAAUAUACACAAGUAUAUUUAUUUCCUAUGUGACGAAUGGGCUAUACCAUACUAUAUAUUUGACAUCGUGACCAAGCUCACAUGGCUAUACUGUGAGGAAAAGUGUUUAAUUUAUACCAGUGACAGAUUUUAAUUUUACAUUUCUGUAAAAUGUAUUUCUAAAUAAACUCUUCCUAGAAGCA